AUCUGUAACAUGACACCCAUUCCCAGCUGGGGCUGGUCACGUGACAUUGUUAUUCCAACCCUAUGUAACUAUAUGUGUGUAACCCACAUUCCCAGGCCCCAGUUGCACGUGUGAUGUCACAAUGGUUUGAACCUCAGAAAGGUUGGAGUCAAUGUAAUUAGAGUUUGUUGUGAGUGAUGUCGUUGUGAUGUCACAAUGUCACAGUCAAAGUGCCCAAGCAGCGGCCAAACUGGCUCAUUCUUGAUCAGGUGACUGAGGUAGGUGGAGCUCUAGGGGUGUUGGUGCCAACGUUAGCAGGAAUAAGAGAUAAUAAUAACGAAUCAGUUUAAUACUGGCGCUGUGGGGGCUUUGGUGUAUUGUUUUUUCGAAAUGGCACAAAAAUUCGGAAACAAUUUGUCAAAAAAAAUUGACGGACAUGAAAAGAAAUGUUGCGCGUCGUGUUUCUGACCCACACAGCAAUUUUUUUGACAGUUUCACUCAUUUUUCACUCACUAAUUACUGUAACUAAAGGGAUAUUUCUGUUUGUCUCCAUAGAGAGAAAGUGAGAGAAAAUGUUUCGGCGUUUACUUUCGUUUUUGCCUUGCGUGCCGAGGAAAAAACGGAAUAAACCCCCGAGAGAAUUUCUUGCGAUUGAAAAAGAUGAAGCCGAUGUGGUCGUCGUGGUAAGCAGGGAGGAACUGGUUAACACAAUAUAAUGAUCACACUUUGCUCACUAUUUGUGCUUUUCCAGCCAUUUCAUUUACUAUUAUUUUUGGCCAUUUUUGCUCGUUUAUUCUUGUAAUAAAACAUGAUUUUAUCCUUCCUAGAACCACCAAGACGAACCCGCCGGCGACAUCAUUGUG